UACGUAGGUGGCAAGCGUUGUCCGGAAUUAUUGGGCGUAAAGCGCGCGCAGGCGGUCCUUUAAGUCUGAUGUGAAAGCCCACGGCUCAACCGUGGAGGGUCAUUGGAAACUGGGGGACUUGAGUACAGAAGAGAUGAGUGGAAUUCCACGUGUAGCGGUGAAAUGCGUAGAGAUGUGGAGGAACACCAGUGGCGAAGGCGACUCUUUGGUCUGUAACUGACGCUGAGGCGCGAAAGCGUGGGGAGCAAACAGG
rnacentral:rRNA from 1 species